AUGCCAAGUGUGGAUUACUAGACUACUAUUAAUUGGACAACAAAAGUUGUGUGGUUAGGAUAAUGGCGAUGUUUAUUUUCUUAUACUCAAUCCAAAGGUUAAAGCCUUCAAUAAUAAGCCAGUGAACUGAAAUAUCUAAGUAACUGGUUAAAGAACAGUCAUAUGACUUAACUCUCCGAGUAGUGAAGAGCGAAAGGAUAAAAGCUGGAAAACUGUUAUACCCAAACAGGUAUACGUUUUCAAUAAUAAGCAGGGUACUUCGGUACUUUGUCUCUAGGGAGAUUUUGCUGAGUAAAAAUAGUAGGCGAUAGUGAAUAGUACCGAGAGGGAAAGUUGAAUAAAGUAACACGGAUGUGUGGUGAAAUAGAACAUGAAACAAUUGGCAU
rfam:Rhizoclosmatium globosum strain JEL800 BCR33scaffold_330, whole genome shotgun sequence.